rnacentral:rRNA from 1 species
GAUGAACGCUGGCGGCGUGCCUAAUACAUGCAAGUCGAACGCUUUGUGCUUAAUUGAUAUGACGAGCUUGCUCCGAUUUUGAUUUUUUUGAUUUUCAAAGAGUGGCGAACGGGUGAGUAACACGUGGGUAACCUACCUCUUAGCAGGGGAUAACAUUUGGAAACAAGUGCUAAUACCGUAUAAUACCAACAACCGCAUGGUUGUUGGUUGAAAGAUGGUUCUGCUAUCACUAAGAGAUGGACCCGCGGUGCAUUAGCUAGUUGGUAAGGUAAUGGCUUACCAAGGCAAUGAUGCAUAGCCGAGUUGAGAGACUGAUCGGCCACAAUGGGACUGAGACACGGCCCAU